GGAUAUAGCUCAAAGUUGUAGAGUGCAUGCUUAGCAUGUAUGAGGUUCUGAGUUCAAUCCCCAGUACCUCCU
rnacentral:tRNA from 1 species